GGAGACGCAGCAUGUGAUCCCUGACGCAGGCAGGCAGACCGGCGGGGCGGGGCGGGAAGCGCUGGUGGUGUCGGCGAUGGGCGCCCCCUCCCGUCUCACAGAGGCCGCCGAGUUCCGUCAAGUCUGACUACCAUGAAGAUGCAUUGAAAAUUCUGCUACACUGGAGGAGUGAAGUAUCCCAUUCAGUUGGUGAUCUUCCUGUCAUGGAAGUUGCUUGCCAGCUCUAAUUUUGAGUGAACACAGUAAACACAAUGGUGAAAAUAUCAAUUAAAAAAAUCUACUCUCCAUACUAUCUCUUCAGAUCAAGAGGAACUCUUCUCAAGGGGCUAUAUUUAAGGCACUAUACUCAAGAAGUUCAUCAAUACCUGGACCUCAAACCUCAGCCUGAUGUUAUGGGUAUCGGUGGGAGGGAAUGAGUAUAUUUUGCAUGUAGGAGGGAUGUGAACUGCUGUGGCCAGAAGGUGGACUGUGGUAUGUUAUAUUUUUGAUGACUGGUCUCAGCAAUAUUUUUGGUCCCACAUGCUGUUUUAGAAACUUGCCACUUCCCGUCAAGAGACUGAGUUUACUUCCCCUGUCCUUGAACUUGGGCUGGACUUUGCACGGAUUAGUAGAAUUGGGGGAAGUGAUACUGUAUGACUUCCAAGGCUAGGUUCUAAAAGAUGGUACUGCUUCUGCCUGCCUCUCUCAGGAUGCUUACCUUUAGAAUCUAGCCACCCACUGUGGCGUGAGGAAGCCUAGGCCACAUAUUGAAGCCAUGUGUAGGUUUUCUGGCACCAGAUUCUCAUCUGACAGCAUCAACCACCAGACUAGUGAAUGAGGCUUUAUAUAAUUGCAGUCCCCAGCCUUUGAGCCCUUCCAGCUGUUGCUGAGUGGAGCAGAGAUGAGCAGUCCUGUCCAAGCCCUGUCCAAAUUGCAGGUUCAUGAACAAAAAAAUAUUGUUGCUUUAGGUCAAUAAGAUUUAGGGUAAUUUUUAAAUAUAGUCUUAGUAACUGAAGUAAUUAGAAUGGUUUAUAGUUUGGGGUUUAUUUAUUUUUUUAUUUUGUAUUUUUUGUGUGUGUGUGUGGUACGCGGGCCUCUCACUGUUGUGGCCUCUCCCGUUGCAGAGCACAGG